GAAGGGGGCUAGCGUUGCUCGGAAUCACUGGGCGUAAAGGGCGCGUAGGCGGCCAUUCAAGUCGGGGGUGAAAGCCUGUGGCUCAACCACAGAAUUGCCUUCGAUACUGUUUGGCUUGAGUUUGGUAGAGGUUGGUGGAACUGCGAGUGUAGAGGUGAAAUUCGUAGAUAUUCGCAAGAACACCAGUGGCGAAGGCGGCCAACUGGACCAAUACUGACGCUGAGGCGCGAAAGCGUGGGGAGCAAACAGGGAUUAGAUACCCUGGUAGUCCACGCCGUAAACGAUGAAUGCUAGCUGUUGGGGUGCUUGCACCUCAGUAGCGCAGCUAACGCUUUAAGCAUUCCCGCCUGGGAGUACGGUCGCAAGAUUAA
rnacentral:rRNA from 1 species